rnacentral:tRNA from 78 species
UGGGGCGUGGCCAAGUGGUAAGGCAACGGGUUUUGGUCCCGCUACUCGGAGGUUCGAAUCCUUCCGUCCCAG